AAAUAAAAAAAAAUAAAAGAGAGAGAGAGAGAAAAGAAAAAGAUUUUUUUCCUCCUUUUCCUUUUUAAUCAUCGUAUAAAACAGCAUUUCGAACAAGUUUUCUUAACUUACAAAAAAGCUGAGAAAAGACAGGAUAUUGACUCCUGGCACAAAUGAAUAAUUUACGAAACUGGGGUUGCAACCGAAAAAAAUAUCCAGGACAGCUUUUUUGCUUGUCGGAAGUCAGGCCAGAUCAAUAGUCUCCCAUAAAGUUGGGUGGAGCUGUUUUUUUUUUUUUUUUUUUUUUUUUUCCAUUUCUCCCCUAUCCCUCUGCCCCACCUCUUAAAUUUCCAAAGGAGUGAUGGCAUAAGCUUGUCAGUAACUGUGGAAAACAUCUCCAAACCGUGUCAAAAUAGUAAAGUGCGGCAUAUUGUAUGGGCAUAUUAUAGUGUAAGAAAGUGCUGUCGACAGCUUUCAUAUAUCAGAGGUGGGAACUGUUCCAACUAUGACUUACUUACACUUAAGGGUUCAUAAAUACGCCUUUUAAGAUAUAGAUGGCUUUUUAAUUUCAGUAGAUUUUGGAAAAAUGAAGGUGCCAAUAAGAAGCAAGCUGACCUUUUGUGUAUCCUGCAGUAAAUCAUUUAAGGUUCACUUCAAGUAUAGAAAUAUUUCAUUGAAGACUCCUGGAUUCAGAAGAAAAAGAUUGGAAGGAGCCUUGCCUGCUUAUGUGCAAUGAAGGCUUCAGACCAGGUUUUUUGGUUUUGUUUUGUUUUGGGGGGGGUCAUUCCCUUUCUUACAGGAUGCUGAAGAAAGGCGUCAAAAGAGCGCUCGGCAGGGCUGGGGUGGAUGGGAGCUAGAUUUUCCUUCACCUGAAAGAUUCUACCAGGCUUCCCUAUUUCACUCUCUUCUCAACAGCCUAAGACCUAGCAGUGGGGCCUGGGAACCAAGAGGGUUAAGAUCUGCAGGGAUUUUGAUGUCCCCUGCAGAUGCUGAACCAUGGUUAUUUGUGGUUUUAAGCGUAAGGAGUCAUGAUUUAACCCAUCUUUCCAAGUCUAAGCAACAGCUAGUGAACCUGCUAGAGGUCUUAUAAAGUACAUAUAAAAG
rnacentral:lncRNA from 1 species